UUCUUCUUUCUAUAAAUGCAUUAAUAUGCUUAUAAUUUUUGUUUAACAUGCCAGGUUCUCUUUCUGCACUUCCUCUAACACUUUCUUCCUGUUUUUGCCUUCCUCUAAAACUCCCACUUUUACUUGCCAUGUUUCAGCUUUCAACGUACAUUUGAGCCCUUUCAGCUUUCCAUUUAUCAAUAAACUGUAAACUGUC